AUUGAACGCUGGCGGCAUGCCUUACACAUGCAAGUCGAACGGCAGCACGGGAGCAAUCCUGGUGGCGAGUGGCGAACGGGUGAGUAAUAUAUCGGAACGUGCCCAGUCGUGGGGAUAACGUAGCGAAAGCUACGCUAAUACCGCAUACGAUCUAAGGAUGAAAGCGGGGGAUCGCAAGACCUCGCGCGAUUGGAGCGGCCGAUAUCAGAUUAGCUAGUUGGUGAGGUAAAGGCUCACCAAGGCGACGAUCUGUAGCUGGUCUGAGAGGACGACCAGCCACACUGGGACUGAGACAGGCCCAGACUCCUACGGGAGGCAGCAGUGGGGGAA
rnacentral:rRNA from 1 species